CUCACGUGAACGCGCGGGGGUUUGAGCGUGCGGUCACGUGAGUGGAGGCUGACCCCAGUGCUAGAGGACGAUGAGAAAAGACAUCUCACUCCGACUUGUUCACCGAACACCGUCACCUCCUGUGUCAGGACACGGUUUUUGAGAGCCACCGGCAGACAGGAGAAAUGAAGGAGGAAGUCAUGAAGAUUCUUAAUGAGGCGCCAAGCUCCAGGAAACUUCUUUUGGAAAACUACGACAACUUUCUCAAUGUGGCUGAAUACUGCUACUACAACUAUACACAACAACAGGCAAGUGAUGAUAGCUUAAAGGCGUUGGAGGAGACCAAGAAGCUGACCGCCCAAUCGCUGGCGAGCAUCGCUUACCAGGUUAGCACGUUAGCUACUAGCGUGCUAAGUCUGCUGGAUGCUCAGACCAAUCAGCUUCGCCACAUGGAGUCAUCCAUCAACCUGAUUGGUCAGGAGACGGUGGAGAUGCAUCGUGAGAAAGUUUCUCGCAGAGAAAUCGGUAUUUUCACGGCGGUCAGACAAGUCCCACGUGGACCAAAGAUCCUCCCGCCUCCUCAGCCUGCUGCCGGCUCGCAGUCCCGCCCUCCGUACAGCCGGCGUCCAAUCAGCUACCAGCAGCUGGAUUGCAUCGGUCAUGGCUUGAAGCUCCCUGGGAAGCAAUUGGAGGGCGCAGAAAACAUCAGGAAGCAGGCAUCCUCCAUCAGCUGCAAAGUGCCUCCUGCGGGUCUCCCGUGUCCCGUGGCGCCCCCUAGUGGCAGCUCGACUUUUGGCAAGCCUGUGGCUCCGCCCACCAUCCCCACUGACUGGCGGGCUCCGCCUGAAGACGACAUCUUACCUGCACCUGGCGAUGACGCUCCGCCCUCUCCGCCCGACUUUUUUGAGAUGCCGAUGGCUCCGCCCCCUCCGCCCGACGACUACGAGACCUCGCCGGUAGCCCAACCCCUUCUACCUGACUCCCUGGACGUGGUCCAACCUGUAACUCCGCCCCUGUGUCUGGAGACAGUGCUGGAGGAGAGCAGCCUCCCGCCGCCGUCUCCCCCGCCCACUGACGACGACGCCUUUCCUGCACUGUCCAAUGAUGAGCUUCCAGCCCCGCCCCCAUCAAGCCAGGAAGUAGACGCGCCGCUCCCGGCCAGGAGGAGCCGCCAGCGCCGCUCACCCCCGCCUGCUCGCUCUCUCUCUCUGAGGGUGCGCCGCCGCCAAGCCCGCUCUCUCUUCCUGCCCGCCGGCCAAUCACUCAUGAUUCCCCCUCCCCCGCCUUAUCCCCCCCCGCAUGCCCCCGCCCAGCCGCUUCCCGCCUCCUCGCUGCGGUCCCGCCUCCCGGCUCGCCUGGAGCACCUGGAUCUGGAGCUUCCUGUCCUACCUCCCCCGCCCCUUUUGGACGACGCCCCCCUGCCACACUGGAAGAAAGUGGUGGCGCUGUUCUCCUUCGAGGCCUCCAACCAGGAACACCUGUCCGUCACCGAGGGCGACGUCAUCUACCUGACUGGUCGCCAUGACAAUGGAUGGUGCGAGGGCGUCCUUAAUGGCAAGCGAGGCUUCUUCCCUAAGGAUUACGUUCAGUCCUGUGACUAGUUGGAGGCUCCGCCCCCUCACGCCUGACCAGCCAAUCUGCUCACUUGUCCUAACCCCGCCCCCCAUGGAGAACCAGCAGAUUCUCGGUCUUGGUGGCGUCCCAGCUGACGGCUGACAUGUUGACCUGCUGGUACAGGUCUAAAAUGUGACCCAGACUGUCUCGCACAAAAGCCAGCUUGCACGGCGCCUGCAUGGACACACCUGCUCAGCGUCUGUGCUCUGAUUGGUCGAGGACACAAGAAGGGGGUGCACUUUGACUCAACUCACCUGAGACGUUGCCGCCAAUCUGUAAAGUGUUCUCGGGAACGCAAGUGGACUGUCCUCCUCCGUCAUGGGACCGCCCUGGAACAAGAAGACUUUGGUUCAGGUGGGUCCAGGAGAGGGGACCUCAUGACCCCUGAAGGCCCCAAAGUCUGGCGCUACCUACCAGGUCCUGAACCAGAGACUGACACCUGUCACUCAAGUCCAGGUAACGUCUCAGCCAAUCACAGCAGAGGGCGGGGAGGAACACGGCAUAGAGGAUGAAGACCACCUGUGUGGGUCUGACCAUGAUGAUGAUGAUGAUGAUGAUGAGGACCAGGACCAGGACCAGAAGACCAGUCUAGCAAUAGCCAUCAUGCUGAUGUGUGUGCACUUAUAUUGGAGACGCGAAAAGGAAAACUGGUGUGGAAAAGACCCAAAUUCUGUUUCUGCUCUCAUUUUCGAGCUACACACCUACACACACGCACAUGCGCGCGCACACACUCACACAAACAUAAGCACACACACACACACACACACUCUCACAAACAUAAGCACACACACACACACACACACUCUCACACAUACAAGUGUAGAUAAAUGACUUAAUGUCACAUUAUUAUAACUGCAAACAAAGUAAAACUUUUUUAAAACACACCAAAGAAGAGCAAAAGUCGACAAGAAGUGACGCCACUCAAUAAAAAACGAGUGUUUCUUGUCAGGAAGUCCCUGAAUUCA